rnacentral:rRNA from 1 species
AUUGAACGCUGGCGGCAUGCCUUACACAUGCAAGUCGAACGGCAGCAUGGAAGAGCUUGCUCUUCUGAUGGCGAGUGGCGAACGGGUGAGUAAAGCAUCGGAACGUACCGUGUAGUGGGGGAUAACGUAGCGAAAGUUACGCUAAUACCGCAUACGCACUGAGGUGGAAAGCAGGGGAUCGCAAGACCUUGCGCUAUACGAGCGGCCGAUGUCAGAUUAGCUAGUUGGUAGGGUAAAGGCCUACCAAGGCGACGAUCUGUAGCGGGUCUGGGAGGAUGAUCCGCCAAACUGGGACUGAGACACGGCCCAGACUCCUACGGGAGGCAGCAGUGGGGAAUUUUGGACAAUGGGGGAAACCCUGAUCCAGCCAUGCCGCGUGAGUGAAGAAGGCCUUCGGGUUGUAAAGCUCUUUCGGCUGGGAAGAAAUCGCACAGGCUAAUACUCUGUGUGGAUGACGGUACCAGCACAAGAAGCACCGGCUAACUACGUGCCAGCCGCCGCAGUAA